rnacentral:misc_RNA from 1 species
CCGGAUCCUUUAGCUCUUGAGAGUUGGGACGGCAGUGCAUGGCUCCCCGCUCCAGCUCGACCUGAUUAUUAAAGAAAAAGAGAAAAGAAAAACACCUUGCUUCGCCUUUAUAAACUAAAACACAUUUUUCGCUUUUCCUUCUUUCUUUUGAGCGCUUCUUCACCCCCUUUCUCUAUUCUCUUCUCUCUCCUCUCCUUUCCUCUCCUCUGUGGACAAACGCGUAACAAGCAAAGAAGCAAAGAGAUAGGGGAUUGUACAUAACUAGUCAUGGAUGAGUAUUCUGAUAAAAAAGAUGGUGAUGGGCUGGUUGUCUCUAGAAGGGGAUCUACCCUUGUUUUGAGAGAUACUGCUAAUAAUAAAGACCGAAAUGCUCAAUUUUGCAACCGAAUUGGGUGUAGUGGGAGACUAAACUCUGCAAAAGGAGCUCAAAUCAGUUAUUCGGAGAAACCCAAAUCUUCAAGGCAAUCAUUCCGGCCUCUCUCAAAUGGUAAGGAAAUAAUUGGAAGUUCUUCUAGGACUUCGUCUGCAACCAGCAAUCCUAGGAAAUCUGCUCCAGGACCUUGGAAAAAGCCGACUUCUCAGCCAGAAAAAGAUCCAUCUGAGACUGGUAGUUUUCAAGAUGAUUCUGAACUGCUGAAACUUGUAACUCCUCCUGGAAAGAUCAAUCAAAGUCUUGGCUCUGAAUCUGAUGAUACUGGUCCCAGUGAGAACACGUCAAUUGAAGUUGGAAGCUCUAGUAUACCAAGCACAAUAUCUCGUAGAAGUUUUCAUCAGAAAUCAGGAAUAGGUAAACCAGAUACCCGAAUAGGCUCACCGCUUUUAUUGGUAUCUAAAAGCACAAGCCAAGGGACACGUGCUAGUCCACACAGGAAUGGUCUAAGAAACCUUAGAUGCAGUUCAAUAUCAGAUGUUGUCCCUACAGGAUCUUCAACAUCAGAUUCAAAUCUCAUUAGACGAAAAGACACAAUUAAGAAGAGAAUUUCUGAUGGAGAAAGUAGUUCCUCUGCUAAAGGGAAGAAAAUAAGUGGGUCAUCAUUGGAAGGGCGGAAUUUUAGUUCUAGCUCUGGCAUCUCAAUUUCUGAUUCAAGAAGAACCAGAAGUGGGCCUUCCAACUGGGACAAUGGUCCUGCAUCAGUUAGGACUCGAACAUCACUAGGAUACACUAGGACAAGGGUUGCUGAUCAAGAAAGUGGGAAUAAUCUAUCACCAAAUGAACCCCAUGUAAUCCCACGAAUGUCUCAGCCUAUUUUGCCAGUUGGUUCAAAUUCUCCUACUACAUCUCAUCAAUUCUCUAUGGAAUCGUCCCUAAAUCGCUCAAGGUCUUAUGGUCUGCCUAUUAGUAGCCAUGAGAGUUUUCGGGGGAUUAGGCCAUCCAGUCCUGCUGAAGUUGGCAACAUCCGAUCUUCAACGAGUGGGGAGAGCUUCCGGCACUACAAUAUGGAUGGAAUUGCUGAGGUAAUUAGUCUAUAUGGUAUUGCACCAUUUUCUUUCCAUCCCCAUGAUAACAUGAAUUAAAUUUCUCUUCUGAACUUGGAGAGAGAGGGGGUAAUGAUUAAUCAUAUUUGCAGGUGUUAUUGGCACUUGAGAGGAUUGACCAAGAUGAAGAGCUAACAUAUGAGCAAUUACUUGUUCUGGAGACUAGUUUGUUCCUUAAUGGGCUGAAUUUCUAUGAUCAGCAUAGAGACAUGAGAUUGGAUAUUGAUAAUAUGUCAUACGAGGAAUUAUUAGCUCUAGAAGAAAGGAUGGGUACUGUGAGCACAGCACUAACUGAGGAAGCAUUGUCAGAAUGCCUUGAGACUAGCAUCUAUCAGUCAGCAUCUCUGGAGGAUGCUAAUUUGCACCUUUGUGGGGAAAAUGCUGAUGUCAGAUGCAGUAUCUGUCAGGUCCCUUUUUUAAUCGUCAAAAGAAGUUUCAUUUAUUUUUGAUCUUCAAUGUCCCUUUUAUUUGAUUUAGGUUUUGUUAAAAUCUAUUUACAGUUAAAACUCAAGCAUUAACAUGGUUAUAUAGAAGCAAUCUAGCUAAAGCAAACCAAAUAAUAUAGAUGUAAAAUCAAAUCUAACUGAACCAAUCCCAAUCUUGUUUUAACUAAAAUGUGCUUGGAUUAAUUUGAACUAGUUUAACAUCUGAUCAAGUUUGGGUUCUGCAUAGAUGGAUAUUUGUAAAUGGCUUUGUGAAAAGUUGAUUUUGUUGCAACCAACCCAGAUUGCGUUUGAGCAUGGAAAAAAUGUGUUCUUAGCAAACUUGACUGAACUCAUCAUUUAUCACUUUAUGUGUCUUAUUGCAGGAGGAGUAUGCUGUUGGAGAUGAAGUGGGUAGAUUGCAAUGUGAGCAUAGAUAUCAUGUGGCCUGCAUACAUCAAUGGUUGAGGCUGAAGAACUGGUGCCCCACUUGCAAGGCAUCUGCAGCACCCUCAUCAUCACCGCAAUCACUUUCAUCAGUCCAUGAAUAAAAUGGAUGUUUGAGACUGACUUUUCAUUUUGUACAAAUUAAGUACGUCUCCUGCAUCCUUUUUUUUUUUCUUCAUAUAUUUUUUAUGAAAAAUGGAGAUCAGUUUCUUUCAUGUACAUACCAAUUCUCUUUUAUGUCAAUAGACUAAUAAACUCGGGCAACAUUGCCAUUACAAUGAUAACUUGUUUUCAUCUAUAAAACAGAAGCUGUGAAUGAAAUUGCUCACAAAGUUGCUG